GCACAUAUUCCCAAUUUCUUGCUCAAAAGACUCCAUCCUGCUGUGUCUCUCUUUCAUCAUUUUACAAUGACACAAUUGUGAACUGCCCAACAUGCUCUUGUGGCUGCCAAAAUCCAAAUGGGUCAAACUGUGUGAAGUGAGUUUACCUACUUUUUACUCUUAAUACACUUCAUACUAAGGUUCUAUUUUGUCUUUAUAAAUGUCUAAUGAGUAUGGUUUCAUUUUCACAGUGAGGAUUCACCUAAUCUACAAUCUGCAAUUGAUGGCCCUGGAAAAUGGACUGGUCAGCCUCUUGUACAAUGCACUUCCCACAUGUGCCCGAUAAGAAUCCAUUGGCAUGUGAAGCUCAACUACAAGGAAUACUGGAGAGUGAAAAUCACUAUCACCAACUUCAACUUCCGCAUGAAUUACACGCAGUGGAACUUAGUCGCUCAGCAUCC
rnacentral:lncRNA from 1 species